rnacentral:rRNA from 1 species
GAUGAACGCUGGCGGCGUGCCUAAUACAUGCCAGUCGAGCGAACAGAUGAGGAGCUUGCUCCUCUGACGUUAGCGGCGGACGGGUGAGUAACACGUGGAUAACCUACCUAUAAGACUGGGAUAACUUCGGGAAACCGGAGCUAAUACCGGAUAAUAUAUUGAACCGCAUGGUUCAAUAGUGAAAGACGGUUUUGCUGUCACUUAUAGAUGGAUCCGCGCCGCAUUAGCUAGUUGGUAAGGUAAUGGCUUACCAAGGCAACGAUGCGUAGCCGACCUGAGAGGGUGAUCGGCCACACUGGAACUGAGACACGGUCCAGACUCCUACGGGAGGCAGCAGUAGGGAAUCUUCCGCAAUGGGCGAAAGCCUGACGGAGCAACGCCGCGUGAGUGAUGAAGGUCUUCGGAUCGUAAAACUCUGUUAUUAGGGAAGAACAAAUGUGUAAGUAACUAUGCACGUCUUGACGGUACCUAAUCAGAAAGCCACGGCUAACUACGUG